CUACGGCACUGCUGGGCCGCGGCCCGCCGCCGGUCCUCCCACUCCAGCCACUCCCGCUGUAGCCGGAGAGCCCGCCGCGUGGAGGAGUGCCCCUCACCGGGACCAGCCCAGCCUCCUGGUGUUCCUUUCUCUGGCCACAGCCUCUCGGCUCUGCCGCCCAGGUGGCAGGAUCUGUCGAAGACGGUUCAUUUCCUAGCUCGAAAACUUCUGCUGACUUCCAACAUCAUCCCUCUCCAGGAGACAGAGUCCAAUAGAGGGCAUCCUGGAAUAUGCCUGACCCGUACUCUUUGCAGCUAUCAGAGUCAUGAAAAACGAGGACAGCCUGAGGAAAUGCCAGAGCCAAGAGGAGCCUAAGGAGGCACGGCAACUAAAUGGAAUGUGGGGUCCUGGAACAGAAAAAGGACGACAGGGAAACUGAAGACAUCUGAAUAAAGCAUGAAGUUCGGUUCAUAGUAAUGUCCCAACACUGGCUGAAGAAGAAGAAGAAGAAGAAAAGCUUUUAAUAAUCUGCACACUAGGGGCGCCUGGGUGGCUCAGUCGUUAAGUGUCUGCCUUCGGCUCAGGUCAUGAUCCCAGGGUCCUGGGAUCAAGCCCUACAUCGGGCUCCCUGCUCCGCGGGAAGCCUGCUUCUUCCUCUCCCACUCCCCCUGCUUGUGUUCCCUCUCUCGCUGUGUCUCUCUGUCAAAUAAAUAAAUAAAAUCUAAAAAAACCCAAAACACCAACUAUCUGCACACU